rnacentral:lncRNA from 1 species
AUAUGAGGACGACCCAUUUCACCCUCAUACCCGAUGAGAUAUGAAAUUUGAUAAUUUAGCGUUCAUACCGGAUGGGGUGUCGAGAUUUAGUAAUUUGACGCUCAUACCGGACGAGAUAUGGAGACGACCUGUUAAUUAAAAAUGUUAAAGGAAAUGGUUCACGUGUAGUGGGGACAUCCCUAUGAACUCCCAUAGAUACUAAUAGGCUGAUAAAAUAAAAAAUUGUUAUUCCUACCGAUUGCAUAUGAAAUUAUGAUAUAUAUCAUGUAUUGACUCUAUAGGUUGCUUUUGUAAAUCUCGUUACGGUAAGUAGAUGAUAAAUGAUUUUAUUUAUG